rnacentral:lncRNA from 1 species
GCUCACGGAUAGACGGUCUCUGUACUUCCACUCCUAUAACACACUCUUCUUUAUCGCACUCCCCCUUCAAGAAUUUGUCAGAAUAUCAUCUGCAGAAAAAUCAUCAUCAAUCUCAAGAUUCAGGCUUUUAAGUAAAUAACAAGUGUUUUUCUUAUGCCAAUAUAUUCGCUACGUUUAAUUUAUUUAUCUUAUUUUAACUUGAUACGAAAUUUAAGAAAGUAAAAAAAAAUAUUGAAUGUGGUAUUCAAUUAAAGAUAUGUCUAAUGUCCAAAAUAUUCUUUAUUUUUAUAGUAUUAAACAUGUCAGUUGAUAACUGAAAUUAAAUAAUUGCUGAAAAAGAUUAAAGCAUUUUUAUUUAAACGGACUAAACAAUAAAGUAGUACAGACAAAUUGAAAUAGAGGGAGUUUUCAAUAAUCUAAAGAAAAUUUUCUGUUGUUGACUCACAACACACCAUCGACUAUCGAAAGAAGCUACAUACAAGGGGGGAUUUAGUCAUGUUUCGAAAAUAACAAUCCUACGCAAACUAAGCUACAAGUGUUAUCCAUUUUCAAGUAAAAGAAGAUUGCCAACAUAUUACCUCCAAAAAUUUAACCUCUUUCUAUUAUUUCUUCAAAAUCUUAACUUUCCAAUGUAACUAAAUUCAGAUAACUCCACGAGAUUGUGAGCCCUUUGAUAGAGAUAUUAAAUGCUGGAUUGAUGCCAAAAAAAAAAAAAAUGAGAAAUCAAACUGAAUACCUUGAUUAUUUCUAGCAGUGAAAUUUGUCAUCCCUGUCUCAUCACCAACCAGACAUUCAGCUAAUGACAUAUCAAUUUAAUUUCCUCUUACUACCAUUUUUGUAUUAAUCAUCUUCGCAGUAAGAUUGCUUCUUUGGUUCACCUAUUUAUAUUUUAUACCUAAGAAAGAUUCAAAAAUAUCAAAUUACAAAUAUACUCAAAUAAGGAAAUUGAACGUUAUCUAAAAGAGCAUAGAGAACAUUUGUGAAAGCUUCACCUGAGCAACUGGGCAAAUUGCACACACAAUUAGUUAGAAACCUAAAGGUAAAAUAAAGAGUGUGUGGAUCAUAUAAAAAUUUAAAAGUAUGGAGCUAAUUUAGAAGAGUUACAUGUCCUCUCCACAGUCAUACUGUAUGACUCAUA